GUCCCAGUAGCUCAGUUGGAUAGAGCACACGCCUUCUAAGCGUGUUGUCGGGGGUUCGAAUCCCUCCUGGGACGCCA
rnacentral:tRNA from 10 species